UGCCAGACUCCUACGGGAGGCAGCAGUGAGGAAUAUUGGUCAAUGGGCGGGAGCCUGAACCAGCCAAGUCGCGUGAGGGAAGACGGUCCUACGGAUUGUAAACCUCUUUUGCCGGGGAGCAACGGGGUCCUUGCGAGGGCCCGAUGAGAGUACCCGGAGAAAAAGCAUCGGCUAACUCCGUGCCAGCAGCCGCGGUAAUACGGAGGAUGCGAGCGUUAUCCGGAUUUAUUGGGUUUAAAGGGUGCGCAGGCGGAUUUUUAAGUCAGCGGUAAAAUCGUGGGGCUCAACCCCAUCCAGCCGUUGAAACUGGGGAUCUAGAGUGUGCGAGAGGUAUGCGGAAUGCGUGGUGUAGCGGUGAAAUGCAUAGAUAUCACGCAGAACCCCGAUUGCGAAGGCAGCAUACCGGCGCCCAACUGACGCUGAAGCACGAAAGCGUGGGUAUCGAACAGGAUUAGAUACCCGCGUAU
rnacentral:rRNA from 1 species